GCCUACGCCGCUUCCCUCCCGCUGGAAGAGGCACCGGCAGCCGGACCACAGCCGAAAGAAAGAAAUGCAACUUGAGCUGGUUGAAAAUGGCCCAUCAGCAGGACCAUCACUGGACCAGCAGCAUAAAGCCAUGUCUUCAGGACAAGGGGGAACGUUUAAAAUUAGGGAGGCCCUCGAGAAAACACCGG